AGUGAACGCUGGCGGUAGGCCUAACACAUGCAAGUCGAACGGCAGCACAGUAAGAGCUUGCUCUUACGGGUGGCGAGUGGCGGACGGGUGAGGAAUACAUCGGAAUCUACUUUUUCGUGGGGGAUAACGUAGGGAAACUUACGCUAAUACCGCAUACGACCUACGGGUGAAAGCAGGGGAUCUUCGGACCUUGCGCGAUUGAAUGAGCCGAUGUCGGAUUAGCUAGUUGGCGGGGUAAAGGCCCACCAAGGCGACGAUCCGUAGCUGGUCUGAGAGGAUGGUCGGCCACACUGGAACUGAGACACGGUCCAGACUCCUACGGGAGGCAGCAGUGGGGAAUAUUGGACAAUGGGCGCAAGCCUGAUCCAGCCAUACCGCGUGUGUGAAGAAGGCCUUCGGUUUGUAAAGCCCUUUUGUUGGGAAAGAAAAGCAGCAGGUUAAUACCCAGCUGUUCUGACGGUACCCAAAGAAUAAGCACCGGCUAACUUCGUG
rnacentral:rRNA from 1 species